rnacentral:rRNA from 1 species
UACGUAGGGUGCAAGCGUUAAUCGGAAUUACUGGGCGUAAAGCGUGCGCAGGCGGUUCGUUGUGUCGGCGGUGAAAGCCCCGGGCUUAACCUGGGAAUGGCCGUUGAAACUGGCGAACUGGAGUGUGGCAGAGGGGGGUGGAAUUCCGCGUGUAGCAGUGAAAUGCGUAGAGAUGCGGAGGAACACCGAUGGCGAAGGCAGCCCCCUGGGCUGACACUGACGCCCAGGCACGAAAGCGUGGGGAGCAAACAGG